rnacentral:rRNA from 1 species
AGAGCGAACGCUGGCGGCAUGCUUAACACAUGCAAGUCGCACGGUCGGAGCGAUCCGGCAGUGGCGGACGGGUGAGUAACGCGUAGGAAUCUAUCCUCAGGUGGGGGACAACGGUUGGAAACGACUGCUAAUACCGCAUGAUACCUGUGGGUCAAAGGCGCAAGUCGCCUGGGGAGGAGCCUGCGUACGAUUAGCUAGUUGGUGGGGUGAUGGCCUACCAAGGCUGCGAUCGUUAGCUGGUCUGAGAGGAUGAUCAGCCACACUGGGACUGAGACACGGCCAGACUCCUACGGGAGGCAGCAGUGGGGAAUAUUGGACAAUGGGCGAAAGCCUGAUCCAGCAAUGCCGCGUGUGUGAGAAGGUCUUCGGAUUGUAAAGCACUUUCGACGGGACGAUGAUGACGGUACCGUAGAGAAGCCCGGCUAACUCGUGCCAGCAGCGC